rnacentral:lncRNA from 10 species
GAAGAGAUCUGAUAACAUGUUGCUGUAAAGAAGUGAUCCAAAAACUUUCUAAAAACAUCUUGUUUAUUCAAGUUUCGUUAUAAAUUCCUUUGCUGUGCUAUAACAGGCUACGAAAUAUAGAAUAUUCAUGGGUUGCUAAACAAGUAACGAACCCCAGAGGCAGAGGUUGCAGUGAGCCGAGAUCACACUACUGCACUCCAGCCUGGGCAACAAGAGCAAAACUCUGCCUCAAAAUAAAUAAAUAAAUAAAUAGUGCUUCUGACAGUUUAAAACCCUAAAAUACAAAGCAGAACUCUGGUUAUAUUUCAAUAGCAUGGAUGUGUAUAUCUCACACAUAUAUAUGUACAAACUAAAGU